rnacentral:rRNA from 1 species
UGGGGAAUUUUGGACAAUGGGCGAAAGCCUGAUCCAGCAAUGCCGCGUGUGUGAAGAAGGCCUUCGGGUUGUAAAGCACUUUUGUCCGGAAAGAAAUGGCUCUGGUUAAUACCUGGGGUCGAUGACGGUACCGGAAGAAUAAGGACCGGCUAACUACGUGCCAGCAGCCGCGGUAAUACGUAGGGUCCAAGCGUUAAUCGGAAUUACUGGGCGUAAAGCGUGCGCAGGCGGUUGUGCAAGACCGAUGUGAAAUCCCCGAGCUUAACUUGGGAAUUGCAUUGGUGACUGCACGGCUAGAGUGUGUCAGAGGGGGGUAGAAUUCCACGUGUAGCAGUGAAAUGCGUAGAGAUGUGGAGGAAUACCGAUGGCAAAGGCAGCCCCCUGGGAUAACUCUGACGCUCAUGCACGAAAGCGUGGGGAGCAAACAGG